rnacentral:rRNA from 1 species
CCUACGGGAGACAGCAGUGAGGAAUAUUGGUCAAUGGACGAGAGUCUGAACCAGCCAAGUAGCGUGAAGGAUGACUGCCCUAUGGGUUGUAAACUUCUUUUAUAAAGGAAUAAAACGAGGCACGUGUGCCUUUUUGCAUGUACUUUAUGAAUAAGGAUCGUCUAACUCCGUGCCAGCAGCCGCGGUAAUACGGAGGAUCCGAGCGUUCUCCGGAUUGAUUGGGUUUAAAGGGAGCGUAGAUGGGUUGUUACGUCAGUUGUGAAAGUUUGCGGCUCAACCGUAAAAUUGCAAUUGAUACUGGCAGUCUUGAGUACAGUUGAGGUAGGCGGAAUUCGUGGUGUAGCGGUGAAAUGCUUAGAUAUCACGAAGAACCCCGAUUGCGAAGGCAGCUUACUAAACUGUGACUGACAUUGAUGCUCGAAAGUGUGGGUAUCAAACAGGAGUAGAUACCCUGGUAGUC